CAUAGCCCUUGGAGGAGGCCGGGGCCGAGGCCGGCUUUUCGUGGUGCUGGGGCCGCCGGCAAGGACUCCACCUCGAGCCGCGCAUUCCGUCCUUCCCGCUCCGGGAGGAGAGACGCGGCCCCGACUCGGGAGGUUCAGGCCUCGAGGGUAGAAGCCUGAGGCUGAACACUUGCGAGGGCUUUCUGCGAGCGGACGAGGCCCCCACGUCCUGGUGUUUCCCUACCCUCCCGCCGCGUGAGCGUUUGCUCGUCUGUCCCUGUGCGCGCGCGCGCUCUCUCUCUCUCUCUCUCUCACACACACACACACACACCACACCUACCUACCCUCCUCUUUCAUUAACGUCCCUCUCAAAAUCAGGUCCUGGAACUUCGAUUUAUAUUAGGACGUCGACUGAUUUGCAUGAGAAAACCAGGGUGACCGCGGCCACCAAUUCUUGAAUACACCUUAGUACUGCUGAAUUAGAGUAUUCCGGGGGUCUGUUCCAAAUCUGGUACCAUCUGCAGCCAACUACACCAGCACCGAACGGCUCCGAAACAGUCUGGUCUGGGGAAACGUUCUCAAGAGGGAGGCCGGCUAUCUCUGCGGCACCAGGCCCUGAAUGCAGAAAAUGUGAGACUGCAGCUACACUCGUUUCCAAACUGACAGUGCGCCCAACAAAUGCAGUGGCACCUAUCCCAAAGGGAGGCAUUCACACCUCCACCUCCCGGGCCGCGAGUGCUACUCCAGCCAGCCGGGCCCUGCGUGCAGUCAUUGCUUGGUGGUUGCAGAGAGCGUUCGCGCCUGGAGGAUACCAGAGCCCGGCUGGAGGUGGAGUUGAGAGGCUCACAUACAAGAUUACCCCGAGGAUCUGCUCUCACAUCUCAACCCAGCACCCCAACACCAAGCCGAUUUUUGGCAUCGAGGGAGCCCCUCUUCAGCUGACCCAUUUGCAGACACGGCAUCACUGUGACCUCUGCCUGGCAGUGCUCCUCUCCUCACCGUGGAGGGUCAAGGGGAGCUGAGCCCACCGGAAUCAGACUCAAUCCAGACGACCAGGAGCAGAGACCUUCCUGGAAGCCAGAGCACAGAAAGGCCACUCCUCGUGCACCCAGUGAAUUUACUCUGCGUAAAGAGGCGCUCCGGGCCGUGUCCGAGUCCCUGCGACCACAGGUGGGACCGGGAUGCUGAGGCGUGCGCUCUGGUCCCCCUCUUCACGUAACCCUGCAACAUUGGGAGCCCUACAGGAAUCCCCUUCUCUGCUUGGUGGAGAGCAGAUGCGGACGUGCUUGAGCACUGGGGCUUGACGACGACUAUUUAGAGGGGCCCUGGUGUCACCCACCCCGGCGUUAUCGUUGACCACGGCUGUUGCUGUUCUCUCUUGGCCUUUGGUAAUUAGCCGUCAGCGCCAAAAGCAGCCGCGUGGCGCGCACCCCGGAAGCGCUUGCGGAGACCCGGAAGCAGCGGGAGCUCGGACGCUGCUCUUCCCGCGUGUGAGCUCCUCGUCCCGCCCACCUUUGAGGUACCCUGGUUGGCGAAGCCUCGCGUCGCGCGAGAGCGGGUCCCGGGCUCGCGUCACCCUCCUGCCCCGCGGUGGGGAGUUCCC
ensembl:lncRNA